AGCAGUUUGGUAGCUCGCAAGGCUCAUAACCUUGAGGUCACGGGUUCAAAUCCUGUCUCCGCAAUA
rnacentral:tRNA from 8 species